ensembl:lncRNA
UGAAAAAUGACUUCCUCCCAGGAACUGUACUCAAGGCUGAGCUUUGGACCUGUGCCAGUUUUAUUAGAGAACAGGAAUGAUGUCAGAAGCAUUAUGAGGCCUUAUGGGGGCUUCUCCUAUGGGACUAGAAGCUUCUAAAGGGCAGGCACGUGACUUAGCACCUAUGGCAAAUGCUGACUGGUUUCUGGGUACAUCUAGUCCUGCUCUGGACUCCAAGAAGUUCUGCUGCUGCAUCAGAGAAUUCCAUGUGUAAGUGAGAUCACACAGUGUUUGUCUUCCUCUGUCCGAGCUCUCGUCUCUCCAGAGAGUGAAGGCUGAGGCUCUGAGGCCGGUGAAGAGCUGGAUUCGGCUGCUGUGGUUCUUGGGGUGUCUCGGUGGCUUGAAGUUAGGGGGAGGAAGAGGACCCAGUGUACAGAAGCAGGAGUGCUCUGAGAGGAAGGAAAACCAGGCUAGAAGGAGUGAAAUCAGCAGGCAAGGAUCCAGCCUGAUACUCCCAGGGCCUAACCACAAAGGUCACAAGGCAGCCAUUGGACUCAGCAUGUUCACUUUUCCAGCGGAAGGGGACAAAGUUUAAACUAACAGAAUGUGUCACUGGAAGGCACUUCAGAGAUCAUUUAGACCGGUGCUCCUCAGACUUAAAUGUGCACGUGUGGAAACUGAAGUCCAGAGAGGUGAAGUGAUUUCUCCAAAGCCGCACAGAUCAAGUUAAAGGAGUCUUUGGGGGCCCAGACCAGUGUUUGUUUAAUUAUAAAAUGGCUGGGCUUAGUAAAACAGAGGUAUACCCCCCUUUCUUAAAGUCUCAUGGCACGAGGAGGGAGAGCCGAGGUUAGAUUCCAGCCUCGGCACAGUUGGGUCGUCUGACAAGAUGUGAGGUGUCACUCUCGUGCUGCAGGACCAGACCCAAAGCUCUUUUGGAAAAAGUAAAAGGGAAUUAGCAACUCUAUCCAGGCUUCAAAAUGCACUUUUGUUUUUAAUAACCGACAUCAGCUCAGCUGGCCUCAUUUGGGGGAAGAAACCCUGCGGGCUUCUCUGAGAGUUCCCACCACCCGGGGGGCCAGCGCUCGCACACGGCCCAGCGAUGAGGAGGGGACGGUGUGACGCCUAUAGCUGAGAGGAGGACGGUGCUCUCAGGGGGGUGAUGCACACUGCCUUGCAUUCCUUAUUCAACACCCUUGACCUCCAUAAUUCCUAACACUAGUGUUGUUGUGGGAAAUAAGAAAAUAGGACAGAAUCUGAAAGAUUAAAGCAAGGAAAGAAGAAAAUAAAAAGGAG